rnacentral:rRNA from 1 species
AAUAGAUACCCGGGUAGUCCUAGCCGUAAACGAUGAACACUAGGCGUAGUCGGUAUCGACCCCGGCUGUGCCGUAGCUAACGCAUUAAGUGUUCCGCCUGGGGAGUACGGCCGCAAGGCUAAAACUCAAAGGAAUUGACGGGGGGCCCGCACAAGCAGCGGAGCGUGUGGUUUAAUUCGUCGCAACGCGAAGAACCUUACCAGGGCUUGACAUGUGGCGGAAAACGGCGGAAACGUCGUCCUCCCGCAAGGGACCGUCAUGCAGGUGUUGCAUGGCUGUCGUCAGCUCGUGUCGUGAGAUGUUGGGUUAAGUCCCGCAACGAGCGCAACCCCCGUGGCAUGUUGUAUCUCUCAUGCCAGACUGCCGAGAGAAACUCGGAGGAAGGUGGGGAUGACGCCAAGUCAGCAUGGCCCUUACGUCCUGGGCUACACACACGCUACAAUGGCCGGUACAACGGGUUGCCAAACCGCGAGGUGGAGCUAAUCCCGUUAAAGCCGGUCUCAGUUCGGAUUGCAGGCUGCAACUCGCCUGCA